UCUACAUUCUGAAUCUCGAGGAAGUGCCAACGCAGCAAUAGCGAGACCCCAGCGAAAUAUCCCCGGAUGAAGCCGCUCCGAGCGGGGUGCAGGGAGACCGAAUCACGCCCUGUCGUGGAGCCCCUCCGAGCUGGAGGAAGGCGGUAAAAAAAACUAACCCGGGUCCAUCCUUCCAUCCAUCCACCAUAGAGAUGCAGAAAUUCCUGUUGUAUCAGGGAGACGAUAUAAACAAAAACAAGGUAGGGUGUCAACUCAUACACAUCAGUGGAUUGGGUUCAAUGCAGGACCUGCCCCAGUUAAUGUGGAUCUGUGUGUAUUUAUGCUUUUGUGUGUUGUCCUGUGUCCACAGUGGACGUCAAUGUCCAAAGAGGACAAAGAACCAUAUUUUGAAAGGGCCAAAAGGGAGAAGGAGCUCCACAAACACAAAUUCCCUGACUGGACAUCGUCCGACAACUAUGUAAAUACUGUACACUAUGCUCACAGACAUAAUUUCUACAGCCACAUUAUGCAACAAGGUCACUCCAGCUGCUGUCAGAUGGAGAGUCUGACAUGUUUGUGUUUGUUUACAUGGGAAAAAGAAGAAGAGGAUGAGGUGGAAAGAGCCUAAUAAUUAGAUGGAGUUCAUCCGAGUCCAUUGUUCAUUGUUGAUGGAUUUACAUUAAAUUUUGUAAAAAAGGUUUGUUAAGUUUUGGUUUGACUUCCACCCAAAUGUUCAGGGGCCCCCGGAGGCUGGCUCCAGUGGAGUAUGUGGUGUUUGCUCUCUUACUGAUGCCUGGGUGAACGUGGGCCAGAGAAGCUCCAGGGAAUCUCUUACUAAAAUAACGUCAGAGACAGAGUGAACCUCUUCAGUUCAACGGUCAACAAAAUGGAUGUUUACACCUAGAACUACGUGACUCUGAAUCUUGAGGAAGAGGUGAAACAACAGCACUAGCAGCAGCAGCAGCGAGACCCCACCAAUCCCCAGGGUGAAGCCCCUCCGAGCGGGCAGCAGGAAGACGUCACCAAGCCCCCUGCAAACCAACUGCAGCUUCUGCUCUGAUCACUGAGCAGCUGAGACCAGAGAAACUCUGUGUUUCCACUGUUCUUCUACAAAGUCACUGACCGGCUGCUUCACGUGAACGAGCUGUGACCUCACUGCGUGUGUCGCUGUGAGUGAGUUUACUCCACUGCAGCUCGUUCAGGCAGUAACUGAAACCUUGUGUCUGUUCAUGUCUCUAGUUCAAGAAGGUCCCUGUUGGAAAUUUCCCUCAGGGCCAGGGGAUCCUAGAGCCCAUUGGAUCCCUGCAAGUAUCCCACACAGAAAUGCAAAGAAACACACAACUCUCUGUGAGCCUCUGUGUGUAUCUUCCAACCCACUUGUUCACUCAGCUAAUGUGUCUCCCUGAUUGUGUCUAUGUAGACAGGGAAUAGUGAUUUAUAGAUUUCACCAAUCAAAGGCUCCUCCAGCGAUCUGCCCCCCUCCUGAAAAGAAAAAGGUUCAACAUAGCCAGAGCCCUACAAGGCCCUACAUAAAAAAGCCGAAGAUGCCUUCAUCUUUUUUUUAAAAGAAAGGAGGCUGCGGCGUUUGUCUGGGGAGAAGAAGGACUCAGCGGGCACUAACGUAGACCUUGGACUGGAAUGAACCAAACUAAAUUGGAAAAGAGGAUUUCCAGCACUUCAUGUCACAAAUGCACUGUGGGAGGUUUCAAUGCAGGACCUGCACCAGCUAAUGUGGAUCUGUGUGUAUUUAUGCCGAUGUCCAAAGAAGAGCAGGCAAAAUAUGAAACAGCAGCUCAGAGGGAGAGGCUGAUCCACCGUGAAAACUUCAGCCACAUUAUGCAACAAGGUCACUGCAGCUGCUGUCAGAUGGAGAGUCUGACAUGUUCGUGUUUGUUUACAC